rnacentral:rRNA from 1 species
AGAGUUUGAUCCUGGCUCAGAAUGAACGUUGGCGGCGUGGAUUAGGCAUGCAAGUCGAACGGGCCUGGUAGCAAUAUCAGGUCAGUGGCGUAAGGGUGAGUAAGGCGACGGCAACCAACCCCAUGGUUGGGCAUAGCCGCGGGAAACUGCGGGUAAUUCCCAGCGAUGUUCGUACCGGGCAUCCGGUGUGAACCAAAGUUCUGGCGCCGUGGGACGGGCCGUCGUGGUAUUAGGUAGUUGGCGGGGUAAUGGCCCACCAAGCCUCUGAUGCCUACCGGGCGUGCGAGCGUGGCCCGGCACACUGGGACUGAGACACUGCCCAGACUCCUACGGGAGGCUGCAGUCGAGAAUCUUCGGCAAUGGGCGCAAGCCUGACCGAGCGACGCCGCGUGGAGGAUGAAGGCCUUCGGGUUGUAAACUCCUGUCGAGGG